CAAAUUUUCUCUGCUUUUAGUUCAAGCCAAAAUGCGUUGACCUAAGUAUGAAUCAUUCUCGAUUACAACAUGAAACAGUCCACGUUCUUCCAAAAUAAUGGCUGUAACUCAAUACACUGCCAUCUCUGCAACCCACUUAAAUGCACAAGAAUCAGCAACAUGUGGGGAGACAGGAACAAGAAGAUGAGUUCUGAUCAGCUAAUGCAGUGUGGCCUGCUGUUAUCUUCUGGAGGACUUGUGGUAAGGCAGUCAUCAUCUAAAGUUGCAACAAUGAGCUCUACCUCUCGCCAGCUUGUCCCACAGACAGAUCAUUUGUCUUGGGGAUUGAUAAUGUGCAGUGUAAUAGUUCUCCAUGCAUCCGUACUGACAAAAUUUCCAAUUGUGGGAAUACUGCACGGGCUUGGAACUGUUAAAUUGUUCAACCCACAUUCCCAUACUGAC
rnacentral:misc_RNA from 1 species